AGUUAAACAGUACGUGAAAUUGUUGAAAGGGAAACGAUUGAAGUCAGUCAUACCAACGGGAAAUCAACCUUUUGAGUUUGGUCUCGUGGGUUUUGAAGAGUUUUAAAAGCCUUCGGAUUUUCGAGAUUGGGUUCUUCUGGUGUACUUUCUCGUACGGUUAGUCAACAUCGGUUUUGAAUGUCAUAAAAUGACUGGAGGAAUGUGGCUUCGAUCUCGUAUUGAAGUGUUAUAGCCUUUGGUAGAUGUGAUGUUCGAGACCGAGGAUUGCAACGGAUACCCUUCUGGGCUAUUCGUCUGAUCUCUGAAACGUUGCCUUGAUGUCGAAAGCUUGCUUAUGAUGUUAGGGUAUUACGAUCAAAAGGUUAGAACGGAUUAAAUUCGUUAAGGAUGUUGACGUAAUGACUUUAAA
rnacentral:misc_RNA from 1 species